ACGCUCGACACCUAGGAGGCAGCAGUGGGGAAUAUUGCACAAUGGGGGAAACCCUGAUGCAGCGACGCCGCGUGAGUGAAGAAGUAUUUCGGUAUGUAAAGCUCUAUCAGCAGGGAAGAAAAUGACGGUACCUGACUAAGAAGCCCCGGCUAACUACGUGCAGCAGCCGCGGUAAUCUGAGCGGGCUGGCAAGGC
rnacentral:rRNA from 1 species